rnacentral:rRNA from 1 species
UGCCCUUCUCUAAGGAAUAGCCACUGGAAACGGUGAGUAAUACCUUAUACGCCCUUCGGGGGAAAGAUUUAUCGGAGAAGGAUCGGCCCGCGUUAGAUUAGAUAGUUGGUGGGGUAAUGGCCUACCAAGUCUACCAUCUAUAGCUGGUUUUAGAGGAUGAUUCAACAACACUKGGCUGGGACACCGGCCMUACUYCUACYGGAGGCAGCAGUGGGGAAUCUUGGACAAUGGGCGCAAGCCUGAUCCAGCCAUGCCGCGUGAGUGAUGAAGGCCUUAGGGUCGUAAAGCUCUUUCGCCAGAGAUGAUAAUGACAGUAUCUGGUAAAGAAACCCCGGCUAACUCCGUGCCAGCAGCCGCGGUAAUACGGAGGGGGUUAGCGUUGUUCGGAAUUACUGGGCGUAAAGCGCACGUAGGCGGAUCAGAAAGUAUAGGGUGAAAUCCCAGGGCUCAACCCUGGAACUGCCUUGUAAACUCCUGGUCUUGAGUUCGAGAGAGGUGAGUGGAAUUCCGAGUGUAGAGGUGAAAUUCGUAGAUAUUCGGAGGAACACCAGUGGCGAAGGCGGCUCACUGGCUCGAUACUGACGCUGAGGUGCGAAAAGUGUGGGGAGCAAACAGGAUUUAGAUACCCUGGUAGUCCACACCGUAAACGAUGAAUGCCCAGACKUCCAGCAAGCAUGCUUUGUUGGUGUCACACCUAACCGGAUUAAGCA